rnacentral:rRNA from 1 species
GAUCAACGCUGGCGGCGUGCCUAAUGCAUGCAAGUCGAACGGGGUCAUUUUCGGAUGGCUUACGUGGCGGACGGGUGAGGAACACGUGGGUAACCUGCCCAUUGGUGGGGGCUAGCCCUCGGAAACGAGGGGUAAUUCCGCAUGAGCUCAUGGCCCGAGUGGGGGUGAUGAGGAAAGGCGAAAGCCGCCGAUGGAGGGGCCGGCGUCCGAUUAGCGAGGUGGUGGGGUAGAGGCCUACCAUGGCGACGAUCGGUAGCUGGUGUGAGAGGAUGAUCAGCCACACGGGGAGUGAGACACGGCCCCGACUCCUACGGGAGGCAGCAGAAAGGAAUUGUCCGCAAUGGGCGAAAGCCUGACGGAGCAACGCCGCGUGCGGGAUGACGCUUUUCGGAGUGUAAACCGCUGUUCAUGGGGACGAAGCACUGACGGUACCCAUGGAGGAAGGCCCGGCUAACUACGUGCCAGCAGCCGCGGUAA